rnacentral:rRNA from 1 species
AUUGAACGCUGGCGGCAUGCCUUACACAUGCAAGUCGAACGGUAACAGGUCUUCGGAUGCUGACGAGUGGCGAACGGGUGAGUAAUACAUCGGAACGUGCCUAGUAGUGGGGGAUAACUACUCGAAAGAGUGGCUAAUACCGCAUGAGAUCUAAGGAUGAAAGCAGGGGAUCGCAAGACCUUGUGCUACUAGAGCGGCCGAUGGCCGAUUAGGUCGUUGGUGGGAUAAAAGCUUACCAAGCCGACGAUCUGUAGCUGGUCUGAGAGGACGAUCAGCCACACUGGGACUGAGACACGGCCCAGACUCCUACGGGAGGCAGCAGUGGGGAAUUUUGGACAAUGGGCGAAAGCCUGAUCCAGCAAUGCCGCGUGCAGGAUGAAGGCCUUCGGGUUGUAAACUGCUUUUGUACGGAACGAAAAGCCCCGGGUUAAUACCCUGGGGUCAUGACGGUACCGUAAGAAUAAGCACCGGCUAACUACGUGCCAGCCGCCGCCGUAA